AAUAUAUAUGUAUAUAUAUAUAUAUAUACAUAUAUAUAUAUACAUAUAUAUUCAUUAAGGAGUUUCUAUAAGUUUUAUACUUAGUAGUCAUGAUCUGUUUGAUGUGAUGUAGCAGAGAGACUUCUGGAUCUGGAAUAAGAAGACCUACUUUCAAUCUUGAAUCUGCCACAGUAUGACCGCCUGAAUAACCUUCUGUGAAGAGUGCAGUCUUCAAACAUGGGAGUUUCAAAAAUUGAAAGAGCAAGUCACACAGAUCUAGAAAUUGGAAUACAGACUGGGAUUUGCAGCUCAUGAAAUGCAAUGACCUAAGGAAUCAGGAAUAAUCUUUGGGAGUGAUCUUCGAGAUUAUAGCCCAGGAGAAGAUCUGUCUUGGAAGUCACAUAGCUGGCCUUUGGAAAUGGUUGUACCAUAAAUCAGAGACUAUUGUGGUCACAUCAUGUUAAGUGAAGAUUGAAGUAUUGUCAUCAUAUGAAAAAAAAUACCAUUUUGUUUCUCUCUACUAUAUACAUUUAGAAGGAGGCCAUACCUUGAUGUGCUAUAUAUAGAUAUUAGGAUGGAAAUUAAUUUGUUCAACCAAUUCACAUCAGAGAAUAAAGUAUCUGAGAUGUGCGAUCAACAAAACCAACUAAAGAUUUGAUUCCACUUCCUAACAUUAUAAAGUUUCUGUGAUUGAAAGUACAGUUCCUGUUGACCUGUGAAUCUCACUGCUAGGCACAUACUCAAGAAAAUUAAAAAAAAAAGAAAAGAGAAGAAAAGAAAAGUACCAUAUGCGCCAAAUUGGUCAGGUCAAUAAUUUUGGUUUUCAAGGAUUUGAAACAUAGUAGAUUUCCACUGAC
rnacentral:lncRNA from 1 species